UAAGCGACUAAGCGUACACGGUGGAUGCCCUGGCAGUCAGAGGCGAUGAAGGACGUGCUAAUCUGCGAUAAGCGUCGGUAAGGUGAUAUGAACCGUUAUAACCGGCGAUUUCCGAAUGGGGAAACCCAGUGUGUUUCGACACACUAUCAUUAACUGAAUCCAUAGGUUAAUGAGGCGAACCGGGGGAACUGAAACAUCUAAGUACCCCGAGGAAAAGAAAUCAACCGAGAUUCCCCCAGUAGCGGCGAGCGAACGGGGAGGAGCCCAGAGCCUGAAUCAGUGUGUGUGUUAGUGGAAGCGUCUGGAAAGGCGCGCGAUACAGGGUGACAGCCCCGUACACAAAAAUGCACAUACUGUGAGCUCGAUGAGUAGGGCGGGACACGUGGUAUCCUGUCUGAAUAUGGGGGGACCAUCCUCCAAGGCUAAAUACUCCUGACUGACCGAUAGUGAACCAGUACCGUGAGGGAAAGGCGAAAAGAACCCCGGCGAGGGGAGUGAAAAAGAACCUGAAACCGUGUACGUACAAGCAGUGGGAGCCUCUUUAUGGGGUGACUGCGUACCUUUUGUAUAAUGGGUCAGCGACUUAUAUUCUGUAGCAAGGUUAACCGAAUAGGGGAGCCGAAGGGAAACCGAGUCUUAACUGGGCGUUAAGUUGCAGGGUAUAGACCCGAAACCCGGUGAUCUAGCCAUGGGCAGGUUGAAGGUUGGGUAACACUAACUGGAGGACCGAACCGACUAAUGUUGAAAAAUUAGCGGAUGACUUGUGGCUGGGGGUGAAAGGCCAAUCAAACCGGGAGAUAGCUGGUUCUCCCCGAAAGCUAUUUAGGUAGCGCCUCGUGAAUUCAUCUCCGGGGGUAGAGCACUGUUUCGGCAAGGGGGUCAUCCCGACUUACCAACCCGAUGCAAACUGCGAAUACCGGAGAAUGUUAUCACGGGAGACACACGGCGGGUGCUAACGUCCGUCGUGAAGAGGGAAACAACCCAGACCGCCAGCUAAGGUCCCAAAGUCAUGGUUAAGUGGGAAACGAUGUGGGAAGGCCCAGACAGCCAGGAUGUUGGCUUAGAAGCAGCCAUCAUUUAAAGAAAGCGUAAUAGCUCACUGGUCGAGUCGGCCUGCGCGGAAGAUGUAACGGGGCUAAACCAUGCACCGAAGCUGCGGCAGCGACACUAUGUGUUGUUGGGUAGGGGAGCGUUCUGUAAGCCUGUGAAGGUGUACUGUGAGGUAUGCUGGAGGUAUCAGAAGUGCGAAUGCUGACAUAAGUAACGAUAAAGCGGGUGAAAAGCCCGCUCGCCGGAAGACCAAGGGUUCCUGUCCAACGUUAAUCGGGGCAGGGUGAGUCGACCCCUAAGGCGAGGCCGAAAGGCGUAGUCGAUGGGAAACAGGUUAAUAUUCCUGUACUUGGUGUUACUGCGAAGGGGGGACGGAGAAGGCUAUGUUGGCCGGGCGACGGUUGUCCCGGUUUAAGCGUGUAGGCUGGUUUUCCAGGCAAAUCCGGAAAAUCAAGGCUGAGGCGUGAUGACGAGGCACUACGGUGCUGAAGCAACAAAUGCCCUGCUUCCAGGAAAAGCCUCUAAGCAUCAGGUAACAUCAAAUCGUACCCCAAACCGACACAGGUGGUCAGGUAGAGAAUACCAAGGCGCUUGAGAGAACUCGGGUGAAGGAACUAGGCAAAAUGGUGCCGUAACUUCGGGAGAAGGCACGCUGAUAUGUAGGUGAAGUCCCUCGCGGAUGGAGCUGAAAUCAGUCGAAGAUACCAGCUGGCUGCAACUGUUUAUUAAAAACACAGCACUGUGCAAACACGAAAGUGGACGUAUACGGUGUGACGCCUGCCCGGUGCCGGAAGGUUAAUUGAUGGGGUCAGCGCAAGCGAAGCUCUUGAUCGAAGCCCCGGUAAACGGCGGCCGUAACUAUAACGGUCCUAAGGUAGCGAAAUUCCUUGUCGGGUAAGUUCCGACCUGCACGAAUGGCGUAAUGAUGGCCAGGCUGUCUCCACCCGAGACUCAGUGAAAUUGAACUCGCUGUGAAGAUGCAGUGUACCCGCGGCAAGACGGAAAGACCCCGUGAACCUUUACUAUAGCUUGACACUGAACAUUGAGCCUUGAUGUGUAGGAUAGGUGGGAGGCUUUGAAGUGUGGACGCCAGUCUGCAUGGAGCCGACCUUGAAAUACCACCCUUUAAUGUUUGAUGUUCUAACGUUGGCCCCUGAUCGGGGUUGCGGACAGUGUCUGGUGGGUAGUUUGACUGGGGCGGUCUCCUCCUAAAGAGUAACGGAGGAGCACGAAGGUUGGCUAAUCCUGGUCGGACAUCAGGAGGUUAGUGCAAUGGCAUAAGCCAGCUUGACUGCGAGCGUGACGGCGCGAGCAGGUGCGAAAGCAGGUCAUAGUGAUCCGGUGGUUCUGAAUGGAAGGGCCAUCGCUCAACGGAUAAAAGGUACUCCGGGGAUAACAGGCUGAUACCGCCCAAGAGUUCAUAUCGACGGCGGUGUUUGGCACCUCGAUGUCGGCUCAUCACAUCCUGGGGCUGAAGUAGGUCCCAAGGGUAUGGCUGUUCGCCAUUUAAAGUGGUACGCGAGCUGGGUUUAGAACGUCGUGAGACAGUUCGGUCCCUAUCUGCCGUGGGCGCUGGAGAACUGAGGGGGGCUGCUCCUAGUACGAGAGGACCGGAGUGGACGCAUCACUGGUGUUCGGGUUGUCAUGCCAAUGGCACUGCCCGGUAGCUAAAUGCGGAAGAGAUAAGUGCUGAAAGCAUCUAAGCACGAAACUUGCCCCGAGAUGAGUUCUCCCUGACUCCCUGAGAGUCCUGAAGGAACGUUGAAGACGACGACGUUGAUAGGCCGGGUGUGUAAGCGCAGCGAUGCGUUGAGCUAACCGGUACUAAUGAACCGUGAGGCUUAACCU
rnacentral:rRNA from 1 species